CAGGUAGUAGUGGGUGUAGCGUACNUACUAGCUUACGACGGGUACGGGUUGUGAGAGCAAGAGCCCGGAGAUGGAUUCUGAGACACGAAUCCAGGCCCUACGGGGUGCAGCAGGCGCGAAAACUUUACAAUGCUGGAAACAGCGAUAAGGGGACCUCGAGUGCCAGGUUACAAAUCUGGCUGUCGUGAUGCCUAAAAAGCAUUGCAUAGCAAGGGCCGGGCAAGACCGGUGCCAGCCGCCGCGGUAACACCGGCGGCUCGAGUGGUAACCGUUAUUAUUGGGUCUAAAGGGUCUGUAGCCGGCCGGAUAAGUCUCUUGGGAAAUCUGGCAGCUUAACUGUCAGGCUUUCAGGAGAUACUGUCUGGCUCGAGGCCGGGAGAGGUGAGAGGUACUUCAGGGGUAGGGGUGAAAUCUUGUAAUCCUUGAAGGACCACCAGUGGCGAAGGCGUCUCACCAGAACGGACCUGACGGCAAGGGACGAAAGCUAGGGGCACGAACCGGAUUAGAUACCCGGGUAGUCCUAGCCGUAAACGAUACUCGCUAGGUGUCGGCAACGGUGCGACCGUUGUCGGUGCCGUAGGGAAGCCGUGAAGCGAGCCACCUGGGAAGUACGGCCGCAAGGCUGAAACUUAAAGGAAUUGGCGGGGGAGCAC
rnacentral:rRNA from 1 species